rnacentral:pre_miRNA from 1 species
AGUGGGAUAGCUGGGUCAAAUUGUGGUUCCAUUCCAAAAUUUCCAAGGAAUCUUCAUACUUCUUUCCAUAUUGGUUGCACCAAUUUGCAGUCCCACCAGCUAG